rnacentral:rRNA from 1 species
UACGUAGGCAGCAAGCGUUGUUUGGAGUUACUGGGCGUAAAGGGUGCGUAGGCGGCUUUUUAAGUCUGGUGUGAAAUCUCCCGGCUCAACUGGGAGGGUGCGCCGGAUACUGAGGGGCUAGAGUGUGGGAGAGGAAAGUGGAAUUCCUGGUGUAGCGGUGAAAUGCGUAGAUAUCAGGAGGAACACCGGUGGUGUAAACGGCUUUCUGGACCAUAACUGACGCUGAGGCACGAAAGCGUGGGUAGCAAACAGG